AAAACUGACGUCUCAUUGGCUGGUUCCCACGCAGGCGCGAUUUAUGCAAAAGAAGCCCAUUUUUCCACGCUGAUUUGCUUUUGUCCAACACAUCUGCGGAGUGUGUACGGUGGACAGGCCCUCGGGAGGUGAUCUUGUGAACACUUGCUGAGGAUCCUUGAUGCCGAGUGCAGGAUGUUUCCUACCAGUUUGAAGCCAUGUCUGAAGGGUUCCGAGGUGGAAUGUUCUGCGCUGGCCGAUGGCGGCGUCGGGGGGGGGGGGGCACUGCACCGCAUGCCCAUGGUGACGAGGAAACAGCUGACGCAGGCAACAACGGCAUAGACCAACAUCUGAAGGAUGACAGGGAAAAAAAGCUCCAUCCCCCUGGAAAAGAAGGAAAGAAGGGAAGAAUAAUGUGGAUUUAUUGAGGAGAAAGAGAAGUAAAUAUUUGGUGGCGUUUAAGAAGUGUUUUUGUUCCACCUGCAUGACAAGAUGAGGACUUUUUUUAAGGCAGCACUUCCAACAAGAAGAAGAUGAGGACAUGUUUGAGGCAGCACUUCCAACAAGAAGAAGAUGAGGACAUGUUUGAGGCAGCACUUCCAACAAGAAGAAGAUGAGGACAUGUUUGAGGCAGCACUUCCAACAAGAAGAAGAUGAGGACAUGUUUGAGGCAGCACUUCCAACAAGAAGAAGAUGAGGACAUGUUUGAGGCAGCACUUCCAACAAGAAGAAGAUGAGGACAUGUUUGAGGCAGCACUUCCAACAAGAAGAAGAAGAUGAGGACAUGUUUGAG